rnacentral:tRNA from 1 species
GCCGGGCUGGCGGAAGUGGUAGACGCACAGGACUUAAAAUCCUGGAGAUUUAGAUCUGUGCGGGUUCGAGUCCCGCGUCCGGCA